UACGUAGGUGGCAAGCGUUGUCCGGAUUUAUUGGGUUUAAAGGGUGCGUAGGCGGUUCUCUAAGUCAGUUGUGAAAUACUUCAGCUUAACUGGAGAGGUGCAAUUGAUACUGGAGAACUUGAGUACUGAUGAGGUAGGCGGAAUGGACGGUGUAGCGGUGAAAUGCUUAGAUAUCGUCCAGAACACCGAUAGCGAAGGCAGCUUACUAAGGAGUAACUGACGCUGAGGCACGAAAAGUGUGGGGAGCAAACAGG
rnacentral:rRNA from 1 species